CGCCACUAGGUCGCAUAACAC
rnacentral:miRNA from 1 species